rnacentral:rRNA from 1 species
CCUAACACAUGCAAGUCGAGCGAAGCGAUUUCGAGGAAGUUUUCGGAUGGAAUUGGAAUUGACUGAGCGGCGGACGGGUGAGUAACGCGUGGGUAACCUGCCUCAUUACAGGGGGAUAACAGUUAGAAAUGACUGCUAAUACCGCAUAAGCGCACGGGACCGCAUGGUUCUGUGUGAAAAACUCCGGUGGUAUGAGAUGGACCCGCGUCUGAUUAGCUAGUUGGUGAGAUAACAGCCCACCAAGGCGACGAUCAGUAGCCGACCUGAGAGGGUGACCGGCCACAUUGGGACUGAGACACGGCCCAAACUCCUACGGGAGGCAGCAGUGGGGAAUAUUGCACAAUGGGGGAAACCCUGAUGCAGCAACGCCGCGUGAAGGAAGACGGUUUUCGGAUUGUAAACUUCUAUCAAUAGGGAAGAAAGAAAUGACGGUACCUAAAUAAGAAGCCCCGGCUAACUACGUGCCAGCAGCCGCGGUAA